rnacentral:snoRNA from 1 species
GCGCGUUGAUGAUGAUCUUUUCCCUUAAACAUUCGCAGUGUUUGUGCCGAUGGCGGUCGGGCGCCACCCGAUCCCGCCUGUGAGGCCCUACAUUUCCUUGGAUGUCUGAGCGC